rnacentral:lncRNA from 1 species
AGGCUCAAGAGCUGCAGUUGGCAAGCUGAAGACCCAGGAUAGCUGAUGGUGCAGUUCUAGCCUGAGUCUGAAGCCCUGAGAACCAAGAGAACAGACGGUGAAAGUCCCAGUCUGAAUGCUGCCUGGCUCAAGACUCAAAAAGAGCUGAUAUUUCAGUUUAAGUCUGCAAGUAGGAAAAGACUAAUGACCCAGCUCAGUCAGGCAGAAGGAGUUCCUUCUAUUUCCCAGGAAGAUUAAAGAACAAGGAGAUGGCUGGCUAUUUAAGAAGGAAAGGCAGAGGCUGCAGAAAUUGAGCCUAACGGCUUAUCAGAUGGGAUGGAUAAUUCUUUAAGUUUAAAAGAACUACUCAUUUUCCCCAACAUCUGUCUUUGCCAUCUUCCUAUCUAAGGAACCUUUCACUUUUUAGCUGGGGACAUAGCUUUCUGGUAUGAGAACUACACUGCUCAAACUUCCAAUCAGCUUGUAUGCACUUGGUGAAUCUUACCUACCACAAACAGAAGUCUGGAAAGUGAAAAUUUAUUUCCUUUUCACCAUGACCAGCCUUGUUCAGAACAUCUGAGAGGCACAGACCUGAGAAAGAAUCCCCAGGCUGAAGAGGUAGAAGUUGGCAGAAGUUAAAAGCAAUGUCUCCACAAUGGAGAAGUGACAUGCUAAAGGAACCUGGCAUCUAGACAUUUCCUAACCCCCAAUCCCUCCUUACAUAUGACCUGCUCUUAGAGGAGUACAGCGUGGUGGUUAGGAGUGUGGACUCGGCAGCCAGAAAUCCUGGGAUCUGUUGCUUGUUAGCUGUGGGCCUUAAGCUAAGAACUUAACCUCUCUGUGCCUCAGUUGCUCCAUCUGUUCAAAUGAAGAUAAUGAUAAUGAAGAUGAUAUCACCUGCUGUGUAGGAUUGUUAUGAAAAAUCAAGAAUUAAUAUUUGUAAAUCACUUACAGGGUCUGGCACAUAAUAAGUGCUGUGUGGGUGUUUGUUAAAUAAAAUAAUAUACAAUGACA